rnacentral:rRNA from 1 species
GGGGGGACCAUCCUCCAAGGCUAAAUACUACUGACUGACCGAUAGUGAACCAGUACCGUGAGGGAAAGGCGAAAAGAACCCCUGUGAGGGGAGUGAAAUAGAACCUGAAACCGUGUACGUACAAGCAGUAGGAGCAGGCUUGUCCUGUGACUGCGUACCUUUUGUAUAAUGGGUCAGCGACUUAUAUUCAGUGGCAAGGUUAACCAUCUAGGGGAGCCGUAGGGAAACCGAGUCUUAACUGGGCGUUCAGUCUCUGGAUAUAGACCCGAAACCAGGUGAUCUAGCCAUGGGCAGGUUGAAGGUUGAGUAACAUCAACUGGAGGACCGAACCGACUAAUGUUGAAAAAUUAGCGGAUGACUUGUGGCUAGGGGUGAAAGGCCAAUCAAACCUGGAGAUAGCUGGUUCUCCCCGAAAGCUAUUUAGGUAGCGCCUCGGACGAAUACUACUGGGGGUAGAGCACUGUUAAGGCUAGGGGGUCAUCCCGACUUACCAACCCUUUGCAAACUCCGAAUACCAGUAAGUACUAUCCGGGAGACACACGGCGGGUGCUAACGUCCGUCGUGGAGAGGGAAACAACCCAGACCGCCAGCUAAGGUCCCAAAUUACUACUAAGUGGGAAACGAUGUGGGAAGGCUCAGACAGCCAGGAUGUUGGCUUAGAAGCAGCCAUCAUU